rnacentral:rRNA from 1 species
GACGAACGCUGGCGGAGUGCUUAACACAUGCAAGUCGAACGGAAAGGCCUUGUUGCUGUGGUGUGCUAGAGUGGCCAACGGAUGAGUAACUCGUGAGUUUCCUGUCCUUGCCUUUGGGACAAAUUCAGGCAACUGGUGCUAACACCGGCUAUUAGCUCCUGCUGUGUGGCGGGGGAUGGAAAGUUUCGGUGGUUGGGAGUUGAGCCGCGGGUUAUCAUCUUGUUGGUGGGGUAGUGGCUUACACAGGUGUUGGCGGGUCGACGGCCUGAGAGGGUGACCGGCGACAUUGGGACUGUGAUACGGCCCAGACACCUACGGGAGGCAGCGGUGUGGAGAAUUGCACAAUGGGCGGAAGCCUGAUGCAGCAACGCCGCGUGCGGGAUGACGGCCUUCGGGUUGUGAACCGCUUUCGCCGGUGACGAGGCGUGAGUGACGGUAAUGGGUAAAGAGGCACCGGCUAACUACGUG